UUUAUUUUGGCCCUACAAACCAUAUGGUGAGACCAUUCCUUUUGUGUCAAUUUCAUUCCUCUUUGAGUUUUUAUUAAUUCAUUAAGAAAAAGAAAAGAAAAGAAAAUGGUUAUACAUGAUGCACUUCUUUCACUUUGUUUUCCUUUCCCCCAAUAGUCAUUUUGAUUUAUGAAUGCCAUGACUAUUUGUAGGAUGAUGGAAUAUACGAAGCUGUUGCAGGAAAUAACUCUUCAAAGUACUACAUAAAUGAGCGUGGAAGUAAUUUUACAGAGGUCACUAAGAAAUUGAAAGGAAAAGGAGUAGACUUGGACAACAAUCGAUUUUUUAUUCUUCAGGUGGGUGAUGGCUGAAAAAGGCUUAUUUACUUGUGAAAAAAAUAUCAUACCGUCAAAAUAUAUCUUCUCUUUCAAUUCUUUAUCAUUGAAAUUUCAGGGUGAAGUCGAGCAAAUUUCUCUAAUGAAGCCAAAUAUUUGUAUUUUCAGCACUAUUGUAAAUGUAAUUGUAAUUGAUUGAAUGAAGGAUUAUAAUUUAUUGUAAUUGAUUGAAUGAAGGAUUGUAAUUGAUUGUAAUUGUAAUUGAUUGAAUGAAGGAUUGUAAUUGAUUGUAAUGGAAUGAA